rnacentral:misc_RNA from 1 species
CGCACCUUGCGCUCCUUGGUAUUCCGAGGAGCACGCCUGUUUGAGUGUCGUGUAACUCUCAACCUACAAGUCCUUUGCGACUUUGUUAGGCUUGGAUAUUGGAGGUCCUUGUCGGCUUUUCUUAUAAAGUCGGCUCCUCUUAAAUGCAUUAGCUUGAUUCCCUUGCGGAUCGGCUCUCGGUGUGAUAAGUUGUCUACGCCGCGACCGUGAAGCGUUUUGGCAAGCUUCUAAUCGUCUCUUACUUAUGAGACAAUACACUUUGACAUCUGACCUCAAAUCAGGCGGGACUACCCGCUGAACUUAA